AACCAACGCUGGCGGCGUGCCUAAUACAUGCAAGUCGAACGGGGAAAGCUUUCGGGUGAGUACUAGUGGCGCACGGGUGAGGAACGCGUGGAUAAUCUGCCUUAGAGUGGGGGAUAACUAGUCGAAAGAUUAGCUAAUACCGCAUAAGACCACGAGAGCUGCGGCUUUUGAGGUCAAAGGUUUUUCGCUCUAAGAUGAGUCCGCGUAAGAUUAGCUAGUUGGUGAGGUAACGGCUCACCAAGGCGACGAUCUUUAACUGGUCUGAGAGGAUGAUCAGUCACACUGGAACUGAGACACGGUCCAGACUCCUACGGGAGGAAGCAGUAGGGAAUAUUGCACAAUGGAGGAGUCUCUGAUGCAGCGACGCCGCGUGAGUGAUGAAGGCCUUCGGGUCGUAAAGCUCUGUCGCAGGGGAAUAACACAAUGAAGGUACCCUGUAAGAAAGGAUCGGCUAACUUCGUG
rnacentral:rRNA from 1 species